GCCUACGGGGGGCAGCAGUGGGGAAUAUUGGACAAUGGGGGGAACCCUGAUCCAGCGACGCCGCGUGAGUGAAGAAGUAUUUCGGUAUGUAAAGCUCUAUCAGCAGGGAAGAAGAAAUGACGGUACCUGACUAAGAAGCCCCGGCUAACUACGUGCCAGCAGCCGCGGUAAUACGUAGGGGGCAAGCGUUAUCCGGAUUUACUGGGUGUAAAGGGAGCGUAGACGGUGCAGCAAGUCUGGAGUGAAAGGCAGGGGCCCAACCCCUGGACUGCUCUGGAAACUGUUGUACUUGAGUGCAGGAGAGG
rnacentral:rRNA from 1 species